UUGAAUAAAACUACACAAACC
rnacentral:piRNA from 1 species